rnacentral:rRNA from 1 species
ACCCGCACAAGCAGCGGAGCGUGUUGGUUUUAAUUCGUUGCUACACGAAGAACCUUACCUGGGUUUGACAUAUAGGUUGUAGGGAACUGAAAAGGGACCGACCCUUCGGGGAGCCUAUACAGGUGUUGCAUGGCUGUCGUCGGCUCGUGUCGUGAGAUGUUCGGUUAAGUCCGCUAACGAGCGCAACCCUCGUCGUAUGUUAUAUGUGUCAUACGAGACUGCCGGUAAAAAGCCGGAGGAAGGUGAGGAUGAUGUCAAGUCAUCAUGGCCCUUAUGUCCAGGGCUACACACGUGCUACAAUGGUCGGUACAAAGGGCAGCGACAUUGCGAGAUGGAGCGAAUCCCGAAAAGCCGGUCUCAGUCCGGAUUGGAGUCUGCAACUCGACUCCAUGAAGUUGGAAUCGCUAGUAAUCGCGGAUCAGCAUGCCGCGGUGAAUACGUUCCCGGGCCUU